UGGGGAAUUUUGGACAAUGGGCGCAAGCCUGAUCCAGCCAUGCCGCGUGCGGGAAGAAGGCCUUCGGGUUGUAAACCGCUUUUGUCAGGGAAGAAAUCUUCUGAGUUAAUACCUCGGGAGGAUGACGGUACCUGAAGAAUAAGCACCGGCUAACUACGUGCCAGCAGCCGCGGUAAUACGUAGGGUGCAAGCGUUAAUCGGAAUUACUGGGCGUAAAGCGUGCGCAGGCGGUUUUGUAAGACAGAGGUGAAAUCCCCAGGCUCAACCUGGGAACUGCCUUUGUGACUGCAAGGCUUGAGUGCGGCAGAGGGGGGAUGGAAUUCCGCGUGUAGCAGUGAAAUGCGUAGAUAUGCGGAGGAACACCGAUGGCGAAGGCAAUCCCCUGGGCCUGCACUGACGCUCAUGCACGAAAGCGUGGGGAGCAAACAGGAUUAGAUACCCUGGCUAGUCCACGCCCUAAACGAUGUCAACUGGUUGUUGGGAAGGUUCCUUCUCAGUAACGUAGCUAACGCGUGAAGUUGACCGCCUGGGGAGUACGG
rnacentral:rRNA from 1 species